rnacentral:rRNA from 1 species
UAAUACAGAGACUGCAAGCGUUAUUCGGAUUCACUGGGCGUAAAGGGUGCGCAGGCGGCCGUGUGUGUGAGGCGUGAAAGCCCGGGGCUUAACCCCGGAAUUGCACCUCAAACUACAUGGCUAGAGCAUUGGAGAGGGUAGCAGAAUUCAUGGUGUAGCAGUGAAAUGCGUAGAUAUCAUGAGGAAUACCAGAGGCGAAGGCGGCUACCUGGACAAUUGCUGACGCUCAGGCACGAAAGCGUGGGGAGCAAAAGGGAUUAGAUACCCCUGUAGUCCACGCCCUAAACGGUGCACACUAGGUCUUGGCGGAUUCGACCCCACCAGGGCCCAAGCUAACGCGUUAAGUGUGCCGCCUGAGGACUACGGCCGCAAGGCUA